rnacentral:rRNA from 1 species
UACGUAGGGUGCGAGCGUUUGGUCCGGAAUUAUUGGGCGUAAAGGGCUCGUAGGCGGUCCAUCGCGUCGGGAGUGAAAAGCUGGGGGCUUAACCCCAGUCCUGCUUUCGAUACGGGGCAGACUAGAGUGCUGUAGGGGAGACUGGAAUUCCUGGUGUAGCGGUGAAAUGCGCAGAUAUCAGGAGGAACACCGGUGGCGAAGGCGGGUCUCUGGGCAGUAACUGACGCUGAGGAGCGAAAGCGUGGGGAGCGAACAGG